CCCCAACAACUUUUGGGCCAGUUAUGUAAAAUCCCGGGCCGAUUUCUCUUUCCAGUCCAGCCCUGACAAGGAGCACAUGGAUAUUGUUGAAGUUAAACAAGUACAAGCUUGCCCAGAGUUUUCUUAAGCCGUUUGGAGUGUGAUGCAGCACAUGUUUCCUUGGCAAUGAAGUGGAGCCUGAUGUUUGUGCAGCUUUCUGCAAUGCACUUUGAGUAUGAAGACGUGAUUGUUGUAUGGUUCUAGGUUGAACACAUUUGCCUCAAGUUCCUUGAAUGCAGAACCACCAUGGAGAUCCAGAACCUUUGUGGGGACAGAGAUGGGCCUUGUGAGUGUGUGCUGUUGAAGAAAUCUCUCAGCUGUCUUGCAGACUUUCAGGGCGCUGUCUGACGGUCUUAUAAAUCCACCUCAGGACUUCAUGUCGAUCAGUGUGUUCAUCUUGGGAAGAGCUCUCGACACUGAGUGCUGAUAAACAGGCUGAACGUCACUGCCUGAAAUGCCAGCAUAUCAGAAGAUGCUGCCUCCAGUGUCACUGUGAUAUCCGGUGGAGAACUGUUGCCACUAGCUCUGAUGGCAUGUCUUGCUACCAUUCUUUUGAAAGCUGAAUAAUGUGGGAUUGUUGUUAAAUCCAUUAGCAGAUUUGUUCCCACAUAUCUGCAAAUUUUUAUUGUAUUGUUCAGUUUAAGUACAUUUUUGUAUGUACUUGGAAGCUUUUGUUAUUGAACAAAUAAAUAUGUAUGAUUUCCUUGAGUGUGCAUAUGUCAAUAAACUUAUUUCUAAUUA